UGUUCUUAGAGAUGUAUUUUUCCAGUAAUUUUCUACAAAAUAUAAUUCAACUCCCAUAUGUUAUCCAGAACAAAUAAAUUUGAUUUGAUUGAUUGAAUUUACAGCUUUUCAAAAACAUAUAUUUUUUGGUUGAUUGUUUAUUUUUAAACAUUUUAUUUACAGAAGUCUUUAACAAAAAUUCAGAGCUGUCCAUCCAUGAUGGUUUUAUCUAGGAGUGGGCAUUUUACCUGAUACCCGAUACCCGAACCCGUACUUGAAUCCGAUCUUAAAAACCCUAACCGAAUUAGCAAAAUACCCGAACGGAUAUUAAAUUAGAAGACAUUGGAUAUCCGAACUCGAAUGGGUAAUAUUUGAAUCCGAAUGGAUAUCCGAAGAUAACCGAACAUAUGUAUUACUAACCUUAUAUUUCUAGUUUAUAUCUCUCAUUUUAUUUAAAAUAUUUAUAUUGAUAGUACACAUAUUUUAAGUUCAUAUAAUAUAUAUAUAUACUUACAGAGGAAAUGAUUUGUUACUCAUUUAAAAUGCAUGUCAAGUUUUUUGCUUCAAUAAUUAACAAAAAUUACAUCUGAAAUUUAAAAACAAUAACCAAAUUAAUGUCUUUUUAAUUUUAAAAUGCUAUGUCCAAAUCUAUUAAUCGGUCAAUCUAUUAAAAUAGAAAAAAACAGCUAAGUGAAAAUUUUAUUUUUAAAUACAAGAAACUUGAAAAAUGAAAUUUUAAUUUUUUUUUCUUUCAAGGUCUAAAUAUCCGAACCCGAUCCGAAAAAACCGAAUCCGAACUAAAAAUAUCCGUACUAGACCCGAAGUACAAAAAUACUCGAACGAAUUCUACACCUCUAUACCGAAAUACCAUAAAAUCUGAAAUACCCGAUCCGAACCUGAACGCCCACCCCUAGUUUUAUCAAAGAGAAACUUUAUAUUAAUGAUAAUAUAUGCAAAUAUAAUAGGAAAUCAUUUUGGGAUAGAUAUGUUGUACUCCUCCGUUCCUAAAAAAUCCAUAUUCUAGAGAAAACUUUUAUUUCAAAAAGAUACAUAUUUUAUAUUUUUAAUGUAAUUUUUGUCAACUAAUAAUGAAAAAUUGUGAAGUUCAAGAACACUAAUUACAUAUUUUAAAAUCUUAUUGGUUUAAAAAUAUAGAAAAUAUAAAAUUACAAAAAACUAUGUAUUUAUAGCUAAGUUUUAAUAUAUUUUAUUUAAACGGUGAAAUUCUAAAACAUAGAUCUUUUAGGAACGAGGGAGUAUAUAGAAUUGUAAAUUUUUGGUUUAUUGUUUUUUUAAAAUAAUUUAUUUAGAGAACUCAUUUCAAAAAAAAAAAUCAGAGCUGUCCAUGAUGGUUUAUUCAAAUAAUAUAUUUUAAUUAAUAAGAAUAUAUGCUAAAUAAUUAUAAUACCAAACUAUUUUUGGGAUAAAUUUGUUGAUGGCUAUUCAUUUCGUGACACAUGGAUAACAAGCGAGAUUUUCUUAUACUAGUGGCCCUGUCGCGUGAUGUCGUGUUAUGGCGUCUCCUCGCAUUCCAUGGCAAAACGCUUAGAAGAACUAUUUUGGAAAACAUUGGAUACGAAAUGUCAUCAUUAAUGGAUCUUACCCGCACUUAACGCUCUCUUAUAGUGAAAUUAUGGUUGCUUUUCACUCGCCAAAAACAUCGCAAACGUCUACACUUUUGACAUAAACGAAAUUUCAGUACUAGUAUCAUGUCAAAGAUUUCAUCCUGUAUAUACGUCACCUAGUUCGCUAAGCAUUCGACUUGGACUCUAUAAAUACUCUCAAACUCGACUCUACUAUGUCGUUACUUCUAUGAAUAACUAACUAUUAGAUUACAGGACUUAAAACAAUACAUAUGUGACUAAAUAAAAAAUAUUUAUUUUCCGUCUCUGAGAUAAGUAAGAUUCAUUGAAUUUGUUUAUCAAUCAUUGGUUAACUAAGAAUAAUUAUUCCAUAAAUUUUCUUUUUCAGAAAGUUACAUUCCUUUCAAACUGGCUCUAACUGGCUCUAACUGAUGACCAAAAGAAUGAAUGAGAAUAACUAAUUCCUUAGCAUUCCUUAUAAUUUGCACCAUUUACAAAGAAUAUUUGUUACCUAUGACUUAAUAUUCUUUAAAAUUUAAAGAAUAAAAUAUUAUAAUUAUUCUUUUGACAAAUUAGGAAAUGAAUAUAUUUUCUUUUAUUUUAUUUCUUUUCAUUCAUUUUUUCCUAUUCCUUCUAUUCCUUUUGUAGUUACUAGUUAGAGCCUCAAACAUUGUAGUUAACAUUUCUCAUCAGUGUAUUCCACGUACUCCUCUUGUUGAUUUUUUUGGUAACUCUUCUAUUAUAAAGUGGAAAUUUAAUUUAAAGGUUUGAAUGAAUAUAUCGUACUUGAAAUUCAGAAAUUUUAACAACUAAUAUGUACUUUGUUAUGAUAUAAUAGUGAAUAGGGAACAUAGGAAUAGUUUUUGUUUUGUUUUCUAAAGCAAAUAGAGGAAUAUCUAUUUUUUAGAAUUUUCCAUUUAUUUGUUUGAAUUGAAUUAACCGAAAGUGAUUAACAAUAAUGUUUUAUAGGAUUGGUGGGGGAAACACCUUACCAUAUCCACUCAACAAUUCAAAUUUGAAAUUCAAAUUAGCUCCACAUUAUUAUUAUUCCGUUAUGUCAUUUCAUUAUUCUAUAUGUUAUGUCAUUUUCUUAUAUCCCCAUUGUAAAACUUUUUGUUUUCUCAUAUUUUAUUCAUGGUAAGGAGUAAUGACGGAAGUCAUUUUUGGUGAGCUAGACUGACUCUUGUAGAUGUGACGGUGCACGAACUAUGUUUAUGAAAACUUAUACGUUGAUAAGAUCAGUAGAUGUACGUAUUUUAGAUACAUAGAUCGUAGGUAGAUACAAACAUUUACCGUAUGGGUAUAUUUAUUGGAAAAGGCAGGUCCUCACUCGCAGAGAGAAGAUAACUUACCAUGAGUUUUGAUAUCUUGCUCCCCAUUUGAGUUUUGAUGAAUACAGGAAACUGGACGCAGGAUCAGAUGUAUCACUGAAACCAAUGGUUCUGAUAAUAACCUUAAAACAUUACUUCAUAACAUCUAAAAUGAACCAUUUACAUUAUUCCAUGGAAUUCUUAAACCUGGUAUACUAUACUAACAGAUUUAAGCUGUAAAUAAAUAAAAAACUGAUUAUACAAUUGAAUCAAGUUGAAAUAUAUUAUACCACAUAUUUGAUGUUAAGAAAAAAAAACAUUUAAAUAACUUGUAAUGUGAUGUAGUCGUGAGUAAAUUGUAAAUAAAAUAUAUAUUUGUUUAUCCAUUCGCAAAUGAGGCUCCAUAUUAGAUUUUGAGGAAGGCGAGCCGAGUCAUUCAAUAGAAUACUUUAUACUAUGUAUAUUAAUAUUUACAAGACGAGUUAUAAGAAAAGGAUAUAUAUUAAACCAAGAAGACGCAAGAUCCAAAAUCUGCAACUUUGAUGUGUAUGUUAGUGAAGAAGUAUCAGCAUUUGUUCGAUCUCCGCCUAGAUACAAGUAAUAUUCUCACAUUACGUAUUUUUGUAGAUUAUUUUGUAUUUCUUUUCUAGUUCUGACUUGUAUAAUUGUGCAUUUCUAUGUAUAUCUAUAUUUUAUAUUUUAUAUAAUAAUAUAUACUAUUCAACUACAUAAUGUUUGAGAAAAACACUUUUGAGACAUUAGUAUGUCAAGAAGGACCUAUUCAAAACAGACAGAAAUAAAUACAAAAUUAGUUUAUUUAUUUUAAAAUUUGUAUAAUACAGUAUAUACAAACCUAAUAUAAUCUUAGACUUUAGACUAUGUGAUCUGCAAUUUCCAAAACUCGCCAGAAUUACUAACCAUGGCGAUGAAUUAAGUAUGCAAUAUAAGGUCGUUAUGCCAAUUAAUUAUCACAUUAGAUACCAAUUGUGAGAAAGGAAUGGUUCUAAAAUUCUAAUUAAGCAUAGUCACUUCUCAAUACAUACAAAGAAAAAAUUAGAGAUCGUAAACAAAUAUAAUUUGAUCGCAUUAUUAAUGAAUUAACGGAUCUAGGAUACCUAACACGUUACACACAUUAUUUUCUUAAUAAUACUUGGUAUCCCAUUCGAGGUAGAAUAGUCUUUUUAUAUUAUAGCAAGAACCAAAAACUCGGUCCCUCUAUUUCCACAAGAAGGUCACGAAACUCUCUAUGGACUAAAAAGACACACUAUCAAAAAUAUCAAUCGUAUGAUGAUGAUAUAAAAUUGAUGGUGGAAUGAUGGCGCACGUGACAAUAACUACAGUGGGGGAGCGUCGGUCACGUGAGAAAGCUGGAUUGCCUCAGAAACGAAGAAGACGCUCCACCUCUGCCUAACUAGUAACAAUCCAAAAUCAUAUAAAUAAACCAUACGAUAUGUAACAUUUUCCUUUUAAAAUAAAUAUGUUACAUGAUAUCAGCAUGUAUGUAGAUAAGUUUCUGUAACGAGUAAAAAAUAAAUAAUUACAGUGCCCAUCUAGUCUGUGCCAUGUUUUGAAUUCCUUUGGGGCUUAGUGCCCAUCUAAGUGGAACCUUUGACUGUCAAGUUUUUUUACGAUUCCAAGACGGUCAAACUUUGACCAAAUACUUCUAUUUACGUGUGUCUGAUUUAUAACUUUGGUACAGCUUGGAUAAGUAACAUUUUUCAUUUUAAGAUUUAUAUUUGUGGAGUGUAGCAACUAACAAGUGUUAGGUGGGAAGCAUCAUCGUUUUAGCGAGAGAAAAUAAGUAUACGAAUAUGUUUUUUUACAUAAAAAAUAUAUUAUUUUAUAUUUGUACACACAAAUUAAAAAAUAUAUUUAAUUUUAUAUAUUUUCUAUAUAAAAGUAUGAUUAACUAUACAACUAACUAUAUUUUAACCAAUAGAAAAUAAACUAAAAAAUAAAAUUAAUAAAUUUAAACUAUUAAAAGAAAAGUACAAUUUGUACUUAACCCAGACUUUUCCACAAUAAUUACUAAUUUAUGCCAUUCAUCAAAACACAGUAGUUUUAUACUUUUGCUAUCACAAUAAUUACUUUUCCUAAAUAUUUACGAUCCUUUACCACUGAAUCCAAAACACAGUCAUUUUCUUGAAAACUUUCAGAUUCUGGGUACCUCCAUCCGAUAAUUACUCAGUUCUAAGCCGCCUUCUUUUGCCACUUCUGACGAGGUCUCAGAAACCUAUAAUUGAAUCGAGAGUUUAUGUAUAACAUCGAUUUAGAUAUUUACAAAAAAAAUUGUAACAGUUUAAAAGGUAUGAUUAUAGGAUGGUUGCUUUUGUUGGUUUGAUUUGCCAUGUAAAGAUGUUCAAUCACCAUCGACGUUGGGACAUGGUCAGUUUCAUCUCUUUGUUUCAAUACAGGAAAUUUCUGACUGGUUUAUAUAAAGAAUUAGAGGAAGAAAGAAGCGCUUCGGUGGAUGCAUAUAUAGAUGCUGGUAAGGGAGGUGAACUGGCACAUGAGGAAACAAUGAUUAUAAUUGGAGCCCUGGUUUAAGCGAGAAGUUCUGAUUUACUGAUGCAGGAGACUGCGAAUGGAGGACGACUGAUUUACUGAUGCUUACUUUCAUUUUGUCGUCAUCCAGUUUGGAACACACUUAACUUACACUGCUUCGAGAUUACUUCAACUGGUUUCAUUCAUACGCUUCCAUUUCUUGGAAGUUCAGAGUGGUGAGGAAGUUAUGUGCCAAUUGAAUCAAUGUUUUUCAUUCUGACAGAGAAAUAAACUCAAAAACCAAAAAUUAGUCAACUUACUUUGUUCAAAAAAAAGUUCUUUUACAUAAGUUUUUGUAGUUUCCCUUUUUGUUGGUUAGUGGUGGGCGUGGUCCAGUUCUACUCUAAACUCUAAAGUCCAUUCGAGUUAUUACGUUUUGUUAGCCUGUUUAUUUUUAAUACAUAUUAUAACUUUUGUAACUUUUGUUGACAUAUAUAAAGAAAAAUAUAAAUAUAUAUAAUCUAAUUUAAUUAAAUGAU